AUCGCCCUUCGGGGUGCCCAGGCGCGAAAACUUUACAAUGCCGGCAACGGCGAUAAGGGGACCUCGAGUGCCAGGUUACAAAUCUGGCUGUCGAGAUGCCUAAAAAGCAUCUCAUAGCAAGGGCCGGGCAAGACCGGUGCCAGCCGCCGCGGUAACACCGGCGGCUCGAGUGGUAACCGUUAUUAUUGGGUCUAAAGGGUCUGUAGCCGGCCGGAUAAGUCUCUUGGGAAAUCCAGCAGCUCAACUGUUGGGCUUUCAGGAGAUACUGUCUGGCUCGAGGCCGGGAGAGGUGAGAGGUACUUCAGGGGUAGGGGUGAAAUCUUGUAAUCCUUGAAGGACCACCAGUGGCGAAGGCGUCUCACCAGAACGGACCUGACGGCAAGGGACGAAAGCUAGGGGCACGAACCGGAUUAGAUACCCGGGUAGUCCUAGCCGUAAACGAUACUCGCUAGGUGUCGGCCACGGUGCGACCGUUGUCGGUGCCGUAGGGAAGCCGUGAAGCGAGCCACCUGGGAAGUACGGCCGCAAGGCUGAAACUUAAAGGAAUUGGCGGGGGAGCAC
rnacentral:rRNA from 1 species